UGGGGAAUUUUGGACAAUGGGCGCAAGCCUGAUCCAGCCAUGCCGCGUGCGGGAAGAAGGCCUUCGGGUUGUAAACCGCUUUUGUCAGGGAAGAAAUCUUCUGAGUUAAUACCUCGGGAGGAUGACGGUACCUGAAGAAUAAGCACCGGCUAACUACGUGCCAGCAGCCGCGGUAAUACGUAGGGUGCAAGCGUUAAUCGGAAUUACUGGGCGUAAAGCGUGCGCAGGCGGUUUUGUAAGACAGAGGUGAAAUCCCCGGGCUCAACCUGGGAGCUGCCUUUGUGACUGCAAGGCUUGAGUGCGGCAGAGGGGGAUGGAAUUCCGCGUGUAGCAGUGAAAUGCGUAGAUAUGCGGAGGAACACCGAUGGCGAAGGCAAUCCCCUGGGCCUGCACUGACGCUCAUGCACGAAAGCGUGGGGAGCAAACAGGAUUAGAUACCCUGGUAGUCCACGCCCUAAACGAUGUCAACUGGUUGUUGGGAAGGUUCCUUCUCAGUAACGUAGCUAACGCGUGAAGUUGACCGCCUGGGGAGUACGGCCGCAAGGUUGAAAC
rnacentral:rRNA from 1 species